AGGUUUUUCUGGAUCCUAGUCGUACCCACAGAUUUAAAUCCAAGAAGUACGUCCUUGAAUUUUUUGAGAAACAAAAAGAAUCAAAUGUGGCGGAGUGAGGUCAUUCAAUUUGGAUCAGUUUUCAAGGGGCACAUGUAUGAUCUAUUAUAUAGUGGUUUGGUGAUAUUUGUUAAUAUUAGGGUUUCAUCACUUGGAUUAGGCUGAUCAGUUUCUCCAGGACCCAUCUGAUUGACCUAUGAUUGUGAACCAUAAAUCCUUGGAUUUAUAUAUUUUUAUUUUCUGUUUCCUUA